AUUCCAUAUCCUUAUUGCUCUUACUGUAAAAAAAACCUUUUCUUUGCCAUAGAUGAAAUCUCCUUUCUUCCAACCUAAAUAUGUGACCUUGUGUCCUAUGUAUAUUCCUGUUUAUGAAUAGAUUUCCAGAUAACAGUUUGUACUGGUCCCAAAGAUAUUUGUAUAAUGUUAUCAUAUCCCCUCUCAGGUGCCGUUUUUUCCAAACUAAAG